UUCUGUGAAGCCGGCCUGUGAGGGAUCCGGUGGAGAGAUCACUAGUGAGAAUGAUGACAUGAGUAGCGACAAAGGGAGUGAGAGACUCCCUCGCCGAAAGUCCAAGGGUUCCUGCUUAAAGCUAAUCUGAGCAGGGUAAGCCGACCCCUAAGGCGAGGCCGAAAGGCGUAGUCGAUGGGAACCUGGUUAAUAUUCCAGGGCCUGGUGGAUGUGACGGAUCUCGUAAGUUGUUCUCUCUUAUCGGAUUGAGAGGGCUGCGAAGAGGUCCCAGGAAAUAACACCACCAAUAUAGACCGUACCCUAAACCAACACAGGUGGACUGGUAGAGUAUACCAAGGCGCUUGAGAGAAGUAUCCUGAAGGAACUCGGCAAAU
rnacentral:rRNA from 1 species